rnacentral:hammerhead_ribozyme from 1 species
AUCCAGCUGACGAGUUUCAAAUAAGAUGAAACGCGCGUCAAAUCGGAU